rnacentral:hammerhead_ribozyme from 1 species
GCACUGCUGAUGAGACCCAACCAGGUCGAAACAGUUUGUCCAGUGC